CCGGGAGUGGCGGAACUGGUAGACGCGCUCGACUCAAAAUCGAGUGGCCUUGUGCCUUGUGGGUUCGAGUCCCACCUCCCGGACCA
rnacentral:tRNA from 4 species